rnacentral:rRNA from 1 species
UACGUAGGGUGCAAGCGUUGUCCGGAAUUAUUGGGCGUAAAGAGCUCGUAGGCGGUCUGUCGCGUCGGCUGUGAAAACCCGGGGCUCAACCCCGGGCCUGCAGUCGAUACGGGCAGACUAGAGUGCGGUAGGGGAGACUGGAAUUCCUGGUGUAGCGGUGAAAUGCGCAGAUAUCAGGAGGAACACCAAUAGCGAAGGCAGCUCGCUGGGACGUUACUGACACUAAGGCGCGAAAGCGUGGGGAGCGAACAGG